rnacentral:ribozyme from 1 species
AUAAUCCUCAAUCAAAUAAUUACUUUGGUCAAGGAUCUUUGAUAAAUGGUACUGUAUAUUACUCAAAUCCUGAUCUGGAAGACUACUCGUCAGAUGAUUCAUUUGAUAGCAAUCAGAAAGAU